rnacentral:rRNA from 1 species
UACGGGGGGGGCAAGCGUUGUUCGGAAUUACUGGGCGUAAAGGGCUCGUAGGCGGCCAACUAAGUCAGACGUGAAAUCCCUCGGCUUAACCGGGGAACUGCGUCUGAUACUGGAUGGCUUGAGGUUGGGAGAGGGAUGCGGAAUUCCAGGUGUAGCGGUGAAAUGCGCAGAUAUCAGGAGGAACACCGGUGGCGAAGGCGGGUCUCUGGGCAACAACUGACGCUGAGGAGCGAAAGCGUGGGGAGCGAACAGG